rnacentral:rRNA from 1 species
GUGCCAGCAGCCGCGGUAAUACGUAGGUCCCGAGCGUUGUCCGGAUUUAUUGGGCGUAAAGCGAGCGCAGGCGGUUAGAUAAGUCUGAAGUUAAAGGCUGUGGCUUAACCAUAGUACGCUUUGGAAACUGUUUAACUUGAGUGCAAGAGGGGAGAGUGGAAUUCCAUGUGUAGCGGUGAAAUGCGUAGAUAUAUGGAGGAACACCGGUGGCGAAAGCGGCUCUCUGGCUUGUAACUGACGCUGAGGCUCGAAAG